UUGCUUUGGCGGCACACAUACUAAAUCAGAACUACAUAGAGAAGAUUAGCAUGGACCCUGUGCAAAAAUGACAUAUAAAUUCAUGAAGCAGUCCACUUUUUG